rnacentral:rRNA from 1 species
AUGAAUAUUUUCACUGAAUGUGUUCGACAUGAUGAGAAGCUACACCCAACCCAGUACUCGACUGACUGGUCUGAGACUGAGAGAUGUAGCUCAUUUGAAGAACGAAAUUUCCCCUCGGGUCAUAGAGCAAUUGAACGGCUAAGUGAGGCUUUUCGCACAGUUACUGGCGGAUAGUUUCAAGAUUUUUGUAAAUGGCCAAUGUGGAGCAAGGAUGUUCCUCGAAAAUAAGGCAAUGAUUGUGCCAUUUUCACUACAAAGUUCUUGCGCCACUAUGAUGGCGAAGUUGGUCAGCUCCGUUGUAACAUUAAUCCGGCAAAGACUAGUCAGUAUAGGGAUGAAGUUCUGUCCUAUAUUUUGUUCCAUGAGUUGAAUGAAGUCAAUCCCUUACCUUACUCAUUGGAGAAAUUCAGGAGAGAAACAGACUAUGUAAAUUAG